GAGUCCUACGGGACGCAGCAGUGGGGAAUAUUGCACAAUGGGGGAAACCCUGAUGCAGCGACGCCGCGUGAGUGAAGAAGUAUUUCGGUAUGUAAAGCUCUAUCAGCAGGGAAGAAGAUGACGGUACCUGACCAAGAAGCCCCGGCUAACUACGUGCCAGCAGCCGCGGUAAUACGUAGGGGGCAAGCGUUAUCCGGAUUUACUGGGUGUAAAGGGAGCGCAGACGGCAGCGCAAGUCUGGAGUGAAAGCCCGGGGCCCAACCCCGGAACUGCUCUGGAAACUGUGCGGCUAGAGUACUGGAGGG
rnacentral:rRNA from 1 species